rnacentral:rRNA from 1 species
GACGAACGCUGGCGGCGUGCUUAACACAUGCAAGUCGAACGGUAAGGCCUUUCGGGGUCCACGAGUGGCGAACGGGUGAGUAACACGUGGGUGAUCUGCCCUGCACUUCGGGAUAAGCCCGGGAAACUGGGUCUAAUACCGGAUAGGAAUGCGCGGUGCAUGCCGUGUGGUGGAAAGAUUGAUCGGUGCAGGAUGGGCCCGCGGCCUAUCAGCUUGUUGGUGGGGUAAUGGCCUACCAAGGCGACGACGGGUAGCCGGCCUGAGAGGGCGACCGGCCACACUGGGACUGAGACACGACCCAGACUCCUACGGGAGGCAGCAGUGGGGAAUAUUGCACAAUGGGCGCAAGCCUGAUGCAGCGACGCCGCGUGAGGGAUGACGGCCUUCGGGUUGUAAACCUCUUUCAGCAGGGACGAAGCGUGAGUGACGGUACCUGCAGAAGAAGCACCGGCCAACUACGUG